GUGUCAGCCGCCGCGGUAAUACAGAGGGUGCAAGCGUUAAUCGGAAUUACUGGGCGUAAAGCGUGCGUAGACGGUCAUGUAAGUCGGGUGUGAAAGCCCCGGGCUCAACCUGGGAAUUGCAUUCGAGACUGCAUGGCUAGGAUGCGGAAGAGGGAAGCGGAAUUUCCGGUGUAGCGGUGAAAUGCGUAGAUAUCGGAAGGAACACCAGUGGCGAAAGCGGCUUCCUGGUCCAGCAUCGACGUUCAGGCACGAAAGCGUGGGGAGCAAACAGGAUUAGAUACCCCCGUAGUCC
rnacentral:rRNA from 1 species